CGAACGAACUCUUCGGAGUUAGUGGCGGACGGGUGAGUAACACGUGGGAACGUGCCUUUUGGUUCGGAAUAACUCAGGGAAACUUGUGCUAAUACCGAAUGUGCCCUUCGGGGGAAAGAUUUAUCGCCAUUAGAGCGGCCCGCGUCUGAUUAGCUAGUUGGUGAGGUAAUGGCUCACCAAGGCGACGAUCGGUAGCUGGUCUGAGAGGAUGAUCAGCCACAUUGGGACUGAGACACGGCCCAAACUCCUACGGGAGGCAGCAGUGGGGAAUCUUGCGCAAUGGGCGAAAGCCUGACGCAGCCAUGCCGCGUGAAUGAUGAAGGUCUUAGGAUUGUAAAAUUCUUUCAGUAGGGACGAUAAUGACGGUACCUACAGAAGAAGCCCCGGCUAACUUCGUGCCAGCAGCCGCGGUAAUACGAAGGGGGCUAGCGUUGCUCGGAAUUACUGGGCGUAAAGGGAGCGUAGGCGGACAUUUAAGUCAGGGGUGAAAUCCCGGGGCUCAACCUCGGAAUUGCCUUUGAUACUGGGUGUCUUGAGUAUGAGAGAGGUAUGUGGAACUCCGAGUGUAGAGGUGAAAUUCGUAGAUAUUCGGAAGAACACCAGUGGCGAAGGCGACAUACUGGCUCAUUACUGACGCUGAGGCUCGAAAGCGUGGGGAGCAAACAGGAUUAGAUACCCUGGUAGUCCACGCCGUAAACGAUGAUUGCUAGUUGUCGGGAUGCAUGCAUUUCGGUGACGCAGCUAACGCAUUAAGC
rnacentral:rRNA from 1 species